rnacentral:rRNA from 1 species
AUUGAACGCUGGCGGCAGGCCUAACACAUGCAAGUCGAGCGGAUGAGUGGAGCUUGCUCCAUGAUUCAGCGGCGGACGGAUGAGUAAUGCCUAGGAAUCUGCCUGGUAGUGGGGGACAACGUUUCGAAAGGAACGCUAAUACCGCAUACGUCCUACGGGAGAAAGUGGGGGAUCUUCGGACCUCACGCUAUCAGAUGAGCCUAGGUCGGAUUAGCUAGUUGGUGAGGUAAAGGCUCACCAAGGCGACGAUCCGUAACUGGUCUGAGAGGAUGAUCAGACACACUGGAACUGAGACACGGUCCAGACUCCUACGGGAGGCAGCAGUGGGGAAUAUUGGACAAUGGGCGAAAGCCUGAUCCAGCCAUGCCGCGUGUGUGAAGAAGGUCUUCGGAUUGUAAAGCACUUUAAGUUGGGAGGAAGGGCAGUAAGUUAAUACCUUGCUGUUUUGACGUUACCAACAGAAUAAGCACCGGCUAACUUCGUGCCAGCCGCCGCAGUAACAC